UACGGAGGGUGCAAGCGUUAUCCGGAUUCACUGGGUUUAAAGGGUGCGUAGGUGGGCUGGUAAGUCAGUGGUGAAAUCUCCAGGCUUAACUUGGAAACUGCCAUUGAUACUAUCAGUCUUGAAUACCGUGGAGGUCAGCGGAAUAUGUCAUGUAGCGGUGAAAUGCUUAGAUAUGACAUAGAACACCAAUUGCGAAGGCAGCUGGCUACACGAAUAUUGACACUGAUGCACGAAAGCGUGGGAUCAAACAGG
rnacentral:rRNA from 1 species